AGCUGGCUUCGUGCUAAGGCAGGACCAGAACUCAUGGUCUCCUAGUUUCUAGCCUUAACCGCUACACCAAACUGUUUCUUUCAAGUGGAGUAGGAACCUUAUUUUCUGUGAAUAAGCCAAAACUUCUCAGAACCUCUGCCUGGUGAAGCUGCUUUAGGCAGAUGCAACAUCUGAAAUGAGUCUGGAAUCAGGCUCCAGGCUUUGUGGACAGCUGACAUAGGCAAGUAAAGCAGGGGAAAAUAUGAAUAUUUUAGCUCUUAUUGUAUUGAAAAUAUUGGGACUGAAAUACUAGUGAAAUAUUUGAGCUAUUGAUGCUUUGUUGAGAUAAUCUGAUGUGCAUAGCUGUGGUUUAUUAGUGAAAAUUUCACCCAAAUGUUUAUAUGCCUGUUUAGCUUAGUAGAUGUCUGGAUGCAAAAUUUCAUUAAUCCUGCUGAAAGCAGAAGAGCAGUCAGUGAGUUUAUGAAUGCACCUGUUGCCUCUUUAGUUUAAAAAUGAUUUUAUUGAUCCAACAGCAUACCACAUGAACAGUAUUUUUUUAAAAAGGGAGAGAGUUCAAACUAUUUCUCUUUAUGUCUUCAGUACUCUGAGUAAAGCAACUAGAACCAUAUUUCUAACCCUUUAUCAUCAAGAAGUACCAUUCAGCUCAAGAGAAUCCUGUAUGGAAUUUUUUUUUCUGUGUUCAAUUCCCAAACCACUGCAUUUCUCAAGGUUUUCAAUGUCACUUUACUGGCACUGUAUUAUUUUGUGAUAUCAAGGUGAUGAGAAAGGUCAAUCCUAUUUGAAAUUUUAGGGGUCCAUGGCAUUGCAAAUUUGAGAAACCUCAUCUUGCUGACAUGAUUGUGAUCCUCUGUGGUUUUUAUCUUAAUAUAGCUUUUAAAAAUGUUUUGGUAUAUUCUGAUUAUUAACUAUAUUUCUCAUUUUAAAGGGUUAAUAUAGUAAAUUAUUGAGACCAGUUAUUGCAUAGUGCAAAUGAUGCCCCUACUUAAUAUACAUGGAGGAAAAAAACUAAAGAAAGAAACCAGAAGAAUAUGAGGGAGAACCUUUAGUGAGGGGAGAGUAGUUGAAUAGACUGUUAGAAAGUAGUGGAAAGAAGUGGAAUGAGUUCAGAUCUUAUUCAGUAUCAAAAAAUUCACACUAUGCAGACAAUGAUGCAUAGAAAUCUGUGGAAUAUGAGAAAAGCAUUAGUAAAGCAGAUCUACCUUUAAAUGAAGCAACAAAGGACAGAAACCAGAAUCUAUAAAACAUGGGAACAUUCCUCAGAAAUGCAUGGAAUUUGUUUGGAAUUUUCAUAAUUAUGUAAUUUUACAUAUACAGAGAGAAGCCAUGCAGCAAUCAUUUUGUUUUACAUCAGAGCACUGAAACAGGAACCAGAGGACUGAAAUGUUUGCAACUUUCUACAACCUGAAGGUACAUUUGGCCUUUAAGUGGUACCCAAGGAUUUACUUAGUCUCUCAUUUCUUUUUUCUACAUUUACAGUUUCCUUCAGGAGCACCAGGUGGGGACACCCUCUUUCCUCCUCUUCUUCUAACAGUGACAGUCCCACAAGGAGGCCUGGGCUGAAAGAAGAACCAGUCCAAAGGCACCUAGGGAGUCCCACAGCUGAGGGGAGGCCGAAACCACUGUGUUUCAUUAGCAUGGACUUUCCCAAAGGGAUAAAUGGCCUUUGGUUAUUCCAGUCCUAAAUGCUUUAUGUCCCUAAGAAGAGUAGAAUUCAGAGGGGAAGUAGAGUACAAAGUUAUUUGCACCAUGAAAGAAGCCAUUCAUGGACAGGGAGGAUGCAUCCAGCCCAUUUUGGAAGCUCAAAAAGGGUCUUAACCUUACAUUUGCAUUCUUAAAUGUCUUUGUAUGGUGAGGAAAAUAAGUUUGAAUGAGUUUUCAGAUGAAUGGGAGUGCUUAAAUCAAUUGAAACAUAAGAAAUUUACAACAGCCUUGGAGCUGGCUUAUCACCUAGUUCACACCAGCUUGUUGUAAAUCUUAGAACAUUUCCAUGGCAACCCAUGAAUCUAUCAUGGCAUUUGCCCCCUCCUUUUGACCUGUUUCUUCUAAGACAAUUGGUUUCUUCAAAGAUAGCAGAAGGGCAGGAAGUAACCUGAGACCUAUUACUUAUGCAUUCCUGCAUCAUCUUUCCUUUUUUCCUGAAAUGUAUAAAUAUCAGUGCAUCUCUUUUGUUCGCAGGGGUAUCACUCACUAUCCUUUGGUGGGGUCCCCUCCAGUACGUACUGUCUAAUAAACACUGCAGUCAGCCUUGAUUAUUUGCUUUGGGUCCUGCGUUUUGAUUCCACAGUAGUUUUCUAAUGUUACUAAUGGAAGGUGUUUGCUUCUUAAUGUAAAUUCUUCUGCUGCCCAUACCAGAGGAUGUAUUUGAGGCAGUUCUUCCAUUAUCCCUUUCUGUCCACACCACUGGAUAUUAUGGUCCGCAAAGUUGAGGACACACAAUAGACUCCUGUUCUCCUGUGCUAUUCCCUUGUAUCCCCUUCUUUGCUUCUCCUGAUGCAUCAUAUCCAGGGACCCUCCUUGGAGGCUGUCAGAAGCCACCUUGAGGAAAGGAAGAAUCCUUCAAACUCCUCUCAAGAGCUACUUUUCAGAGGGAUCUCCCAGGAAGAUCAAAGUUGGGACAGCUCACCAGGGAAUGGAACAAUACAGUUGAUUUCUACAGGAUCAUCUGCUUUUUCUAGUGGAGCUGAAAGAGUGGUUGAACCUCCAACUCAGGUAGGAGAAGAAACAUCAGAAAAGAUGCUGGGUGCCAUUUCGAUGAAGCCUGUUUUGCUCUGGUGUUCAGUGUAGAAUAUAAUAGUGCUGUUUCUAAGUAACAUGGAAUGGGGAAUCUAGGGUUCAAGUCACUGAGCAGUCACGCUUAGCUUCAGCCUACCUCUCAAGGCUCUUGUGGAGAAACACCUAGAUUAAAUAUCUAUGUUGAGACAAACUUAUGAGAAGUAAUUCACACUUCAGUAUCUUCUCUUGUGAGAUCGUUUAUAACAAAAUAGGAUAGCAUUGAUAAAGGUUUCUUAGCAGCAUUAUGAAAGUGGCUUAUCUUUGCUUAUUUUGGUAAGGUUUUUGUAUUUCCCACUAGCCAACAUUCAUGGGAUUUCAAACACCAUACAUGUUUUUAACAUUACUACCGGUUGUAGGUCUGAAGCCACUCAGUCAUAUGUUAACUAACAAACAAAUGAAAUGCCAUACUAAGCCGGACUGACCCUAGUUAGCUUCUGAGUGUUAGGAACCAAGAUUCAGAAUCUGACUCUGAACCUGACUCUGAUGAUGUUGCUCCAGUUGAGCCUAUGGAUUGUCAGCUUCAGGCUGUCAGCCUCAGGAAUCAUUAAGCCAGGAUUCAUUUGAGGCUGAUCAGCCACAGGCAUCUCCUGUUAAGCUGGAGCAGUCAGAUGAUGAGGCACAACCCCCAAGCCCCAGGUCUAGAUGCAUGCUGCAGUGAACAGAGCAAUGCUCUUCAGUGAGAUUCCUUGCCAGGCAAAGGAUGAGACAUGAGUAAUUGCAGCCAGCUGUGUAGCUGCUUUGCUUUCAGUCUUUGUUGGAAACAACUGUUCAGUAUCCCAGUUUGUGACUCUUAUUCCUGCUUCUUGUUUGUGAAAUCUUCACUCUUGGACCAGAUGAGAACCUGAUUUGGCAUUCUGUGACUCUUGGAAUGUAUUUGGACUACUCUCUUGCUUCUUGGAGUGUAAUUGGCAUUUUUCAGGCAAGCGCUCUCUGCUAGCUAUUUGGAUUACAACCCUAUUAUCUGCAUAAACUGUAGUAAAUAUUUUCUCUCCUUAAUAACUCUGUCUGCAUGUGUGUACCUGCAACCUUGAAACAGAACACUGAGAGAGUUUCCACCUGCUGACACUUAAAUUACAUUAACAGUGAUGCUAAGAAAAAGGUCAAGAAAAAGGGAAAAGUAACAGACACUUAAUCAGAAUUAAAAGGAGUAGCCCUUUCUUUUACUUCAAACUUUUGGAGUUCAUCUUUCCAAAUACUUUUGUGUUAUGCUGGACUGCUCAAAACUAGCUAAAUAACCAAAUUAAUUACCAUUUAAAAAAAACAACAUUCAAAAUCAGGUAAUUGAAAGAAGAGCAUUUCAGAGAUAAAAUAGUGUUUCCAGGUAAAAAUCCUUAAAAUUCCAAGCACAACAAAUGGAUUUUAACUAGGCUAUAGAAAAGAUUGUAAUGAAAUGACACUUAAAAAGGACUCUAAAUACAAGUGCCCAAAGUGCUUGUAAUCAAACCACUUCGGUGUUUUGUAUUUUCUAACCACCUGUUUUGUAUCUAGAUUUGGAUGCGAACAAAUGCAGCGUUGGCUUAAUAAGCAUAAUUUCCUUCUCAGCUUCCUUCCUUAGCUCCCAUUGAGUCAGUGGCUCAGACCACAAAGAGCUUCUGUAGAAGCUGCACAUGGAUGGCACGACACAGAUGCCUGCAUGGGCUCUCCUGGCACUUCAUGAAAGGUGUUGAAUUGAUCGACCCCUGUGGGGACACCACAGUUCAUUGGCUAAAAUGUCAGGCAUCAGAAAGGGCCUGAGCAAUUGAUUGAUGGUAUGUCCUAAACCCAUCUUCCCAUUGAUCCUGAAGGAUGCUGG